UCUGGAGACAAGAUAGAGGAAAUCUAUUAGGAGAUCUGUCCCUUUUCCCAUAGAAUCUAUACAGUAACCAACAGGGACAUCCAGGCCACUUCUAUUCAUUUCAACAAAAAACUGGAAUCCAAAUCUAAUUUUAAAAGCUUUUGGUUUGGAGGUAUGUAGUAGAGGGGGCUAUUAACCAGGGCUUGGGCCUCUGGAGGGAACGGCCACCGGAAAUGAGGGGCUGACAAAAGACCCGAGUCACACCUGUUAGAUACCUACGCAGCUGUGGAAUCUCACACACUCUGUAAGUGACUGAAUGUUUGUGUCCUCCUCCAAAUUCCUAUGUUGAAGCCUAACUGCCGAUGUGACAGUAUUUGGAGACAGGGCUUUCAGGAGGUAAUUAAGGUCAAAUGAGGUCAUUAAGGUCAAAUGAGGUCAUAUGGGUGCAGUCCUAAUCCAGGAGGAUUGGUGGCCUCCUAAGAAAAGAAAAAGGGAGAGCUCGAUCUCGCUCUUUCCAACAUGCCCACUGAAGAAAGGCCAUGUGAGGACGCACCAGAAGGUGCUGCAAGCCAGGAAAGAAGCCCUCACCAGAAACCGGACCCUGCUGGAACCUUGAUCUUGGACUUGCCAGCCUCAGAGUUGUGACAAAAUAAAUUUCUGCUGUUGAAGCGGCCCAGCCUAUGGCAUUUUGUUAUUAUGGCUGUCGAAGCAAACUAAGACACACCCCACCCCCACUUUCUUUUCUUUACUCUCUCAUCCUCUGUAGGCAAACAGAUGAUGGCAUGUUGUCUACUCAGAGUUGCCUGAUGAAAACAAUUCUGUUUGAAUUUUACACAGUACAGAAAAGAGCCUCAGAAUCACAAUAUGGCCCUCCAAUCAGAGGACCUAAUUUGUGGGAUCGGGCUCCCUAUUAUACUUGGCUGUUAUGUAAGCAGGACAGCCUUCCAGAGAUGGGAAUUAAAGAGCACCUCAAUUCAGCAAGUUGGGAGGCAGGUGCUCUGAAACUUUCCCUAAACCUUUUCUUCAACUCCAACCUGGGACUCUACCUGGCUAUCCCUUCUAGAAGUCAUUUCACAUCUACUGCUGCUCUGCCAGGCAGGCUCUGGACCCCUCUCACAGCCAGGCCAACGGGCUCAAAACCACCAAACAAUGAGGGCUUGGACAGCGACGUAAAGGAAAGUCCCCAGAGAUGAUCAACACCAUGUCAGAUUUAAUAUGCCCCACCCAGAAACUUCAAAAGGCGUUUUACUUGCUAAUUAACUGCUUGCUUGUACAGCUACAACUUUACUUGUUUUCUCUAAUUCCUGGGCAGAACUUCAGCCUCCAAGAUGAGAGAUCACAGGCCAAAUUUACCCUCCUGCCCAAAACAACAAAAACAGACAAAAUACAUGAAACAAUGGUUUUUACAACAUUUGGACACAACAACAAAGGACAGUGAUCCCUAACAGGAAAAAAACCGAACUGAGUAAGACCUACAAAUGCCACAUCAAAUUAAAGGAUUGUUUCCAGAUAUACAAAAUCUGAAAGAGUUCAUCAUCAGUAGACCUGCACUAUAAGAAAGGUUAAAGGAAAUCCUUCAGGCACAAGUUAAAUGAUACCAGAUGGAAAUAAGGAUCUAAACAAAGGAAUGAGGAGCACCAAAAAUGAGAGACAGUGAGAGAGGGAACACAAACAGGGGAAGUGUGACAGGGAGAAACAGGCUUCCCACUGAGGGGCUCGAUCCCAGGACCCUGGGAUCAUGACCUGAGCCGAAGGCAGAUGCUUAACGACUGAGCCACUGAGGUGCAAAAUUUUGUAAACCGAAUCCAUCAAUAUAAAAAAGGAAAAUACAUCUGAACCAGCUGCAGACCUGGUGCUGGAGAGGCAGACGACUCAAGGCUGGUAUUCCAUGUUGCUGACUAAGGAUGGAUCCAUGUGUUUUGGACACCUGACAAGUAGGAGAUAAGGCUGAGGCUCCAUUAUGAAAACUGAGAAGCCUAGUCAAUACUCUUGCCCAGAUGGAAUGCCACCAUCUCACCUUCCAGUCCUUGGCCAUAUGCAGAGGCACAGACUAAACAAUUCAAUUCUAGAUUCUAGACACUGCUUUCAUCCUAAACUUCAUGUUGACCAAUCUCCAGAUUCGGGUAAAUAGUAACCGCUUCCUAUAGGUAAAUUUAAAGCUUUCUGUGAUAUAUAGGCUAAAAUUUGGUCUUUUCACAUGUUAGCAUGAAUUUUUAUUUGACUAUUAUGGCCAGAAGAAUUUACUAAAAAUCUUGGGGAAAAAUAUUAAGAUUCCAUGAAGUGGAUUUUGAUUUUUCAUGAAAUAGUUAUUGACUACUGUUUUAUCAAUCUGCUUACAGUUUAAGGGAGUUUGAAAAGAUACCAAAUGAAGUGUUGCCCUCAUGGAAGGUAAGGAGAGCAUUUUAGGUCUCAUAAUUUUAAGAAAUAACUUGGACAAUCAAAAAGGUAGGUGAAGUCUUUAUAGAAAAAACUUCUUUUUUUUUUGCAUUAUGAAACAAAAAGCAGGAUCAAGGCAGAAGAGAAUAGAAAUUGAAUUAGUGGUUCAAAUACUAUGAUCAUAAAGACUUUUAGCAGCAGACCUGUCAUCAUGUUAGAACUAUCGAGAUUCAUAAGAGAUCA